rnacentral:rRNA from 1 species
CUGGCGGCGAGUGGCGAACGGGUGAGUAAUAUAUCGGAACGUACCCAAGAGUGGGGGAUAACGUAGCGAAAGUUACGCUAAUACCGCAUACGAUCUAAGGAUGAAAGCAGGGGACCGCAAGGCCUUGUGCUCCUGGAGCGGCCGAUAUCUGAUUAGCUAGUUGGUAGGGUAAAGGCCUACCAAGGCAUCGAUCAGUAGCUGGUCUGAGAGGACGACCAGCCACACUGGAACUGAGACACGGUCCAGACUCCUACGGGAGGCAGCAGUGGGGAAUUUUGGACAAUGGGCGCAAGCCUGAUCCAGCAAUGCCGCGUGAGUGAAGAAGGCCUUCGGGUUGUAAAGCUCUUUUGUCAGGGAAGAAACGGGUGGGGAUAAUACCUCCAUCUAAUGACGGUACCUGAAGAAUAAGCACCGGCUAACUACGUGCCAGCAGCCGCGGUAAUACGUAGGGUGCAAGCGUUAAUCGGAAUUACUGGGCGUAAAGCGUGCGCAGGCGGUUUUGUAAGUCUGUCGUGAAAUCCCCGGGCUCAACCUGGGAAUGGCGAUGGAGA